rnacentral:rRNA from 1 species
GAUGAACGCUGGCGGCGUGCUUAACACAUGCAAGUCGAACGGAAAGGCUCCUGCUUGCAGGGGUACUCGAGUGGCGAACGGGUGAGUAACACGUGGGUGAUCUGCCCUGCACUUCGGGAUAAGCCUGGGAAACUGGGUCUAAUACCGGAUAGGACCACAUUUUGGAUGGUGUGGUGGAAAGUUUUUCGGUGUGGGAUGAGCUCGCGGCUUAUCAGCUUGUUGGUGGGGUAAUGGCCUACCAAGGCGUCGACGGGUAGCCGGCCUGAGAGGGUGUACGGCCACAUUGGGACUGAGAUACGGCCCAGACUCCUACGGGAGGCAGCAGUGGGGAAUAUUGCACAAUGGGCGCAAGCCUGAUGCAGCGACGCCGCGUGGGGGAUGACGGCCUUCGGGUUGUAAACUCCUUUCGCUAGGGACGAAGCGCAAGUGACGGUACCUGGAGAAGAAGCACCGGCUAACUACGUG